rnacentral:tRNA from 1 species
GGGCCUAUAGCUCAGCGGUCAGAGCAGCGGACUCAUAAUCCGUUGGUCGCAGGUUCAAAUCCUGCUGGGCCCACCA